UUAAGGUUACAGGACACCCUUUUUGGCGUUUUGCGGAAAAUCGCUACUGCGCGCUCAAUAUCAGUCCGAUUUUCAUCAAAUUUUCACCAAAUGUUUCUCAGUGCAUGCAAAAUAUGGUAAAGUUGUAAAAUUAACAAACAAUAAAAUAAUGUAAGAGUUAUUCAGGAAAAUCUUAAAUCGCGGUACCUUUACGCUUUUGAGUUGUGCUCCUGCU